ACUACUAUACACGUUUACACAUCCAUACCAAACUGCGAGGUGUCAGAAAAAUACUUUGUAGUUGCCAAAGUUCCAGAGCAUGGCAUUAAUACUGGUAAUAAGAAUGUGUUGUUAGGUGUCAUGUUAUACGGCUACAAUUUACAGUGUGAUUUUAUGAAUCCUUAUUAAAAAGCUAUUGUUUAAAAACCCUAAAAAGGUAUUGUUUAUCUUUUAUAUUUCUAAAUACAUAAUGUCUAUUUGUUCGGCCCGUGGCCCACAAGCCCCAAAAGUUUGAGCACUUCGUUUUUUUUAAUGUAAAACAGUUUGGAUAAUGCACACCUACUUUUUUUAUACACGAAAUGUAGCCAUACUAAUUUGUUUUGACAUCCACUAGUGUUUUCCUCUUCAUUGCAUCAUUCCUUUCCCUGGUGGGAAUUAGAGUUUAGGGAUCUUAGAUACAGUAAUUAACCCUUUGUUAUUAGCCUGAUUUGUUCAACGUUACAGUACGUGGUGAUCAGGGCGCUCAUUAGUUCCACUUGUCCUUGUACAGCUUGACCAACAAUGGAAAACAAUGUCAGGUCACUAUCACUUGACCCGCUGUCCAUAUCAGAAGUAUGCACUUGCUCCACUUGGGUUUAAUCUACAGUGAAAUGAUAUCAUUCAAAGAGGGCUUGCAGGCAGGCGGAAACAUUUGUCAUUUCACUGAUCGAGGGCACAACAUGAUAGAUCUAAGGCAUUGUUGAGAGUAUACCAGUACGCCCCUAUGGCACCAUCCAUAAAAUUGUUACAUAUUUAUACACAUUGAGCAUAUAAUGCACAGUCUAGUUUACCGAUAAUUAAACCGCAUAACUUGGUUUAUUGUUGCAUAUCUAUGUACCAUAAGGACUGAAUGCAGCAACCAAUGUACAUUAUCUCAGACACAUACUGGGCUACAGCAGGGUGAAGGCCAGAAUAAUUAAAUCACUUACAGUAUCAGUAUAAAAUAUCAGUAUUUGAUCUUACAGCUAGUCUGGUCCCAAAACUUUUUGUGCUGUCUAUCCAACUCCUAUAUGGAGUAAUUGUCACACCAACCAGCCAUGUUGGCCUGCAUGGUGAGACAAUGAAGACGGUGGAAACAGAUCCAGGACCAGGCUAACAAACAGCUACACAAUAUCAUUCAAAAUCUAGUUGCCAGAUGGCUUCCGUUAGUAAUCCCUCAUAAAAUAUUUUCAAAAUCUUUAAUGCAACUCAAGAUGAGUUGUCAUUUCAAUCAGCCUAAGUAUAGCUCAAGACUAUGAUGUGAAAAUUCACAUGGUGAUAACAAUGGAGGAUCCUCAGAGGAGGAAGGGGAGAACCAUCCUCCUCAGUGAGUUUCGCAAAAAUAAAAAUUGUGAAAUGUUAAAAAAGUUAUAUUCACGUCACCAAAUAAUUAAUUAAAACGAACUGUUUUGCAAUGAAGGUCUAUAGUAGCCUCAACAGCACUCUGUAGGGUAGCACCAUGGUGUAGCCGGAGGACAACAAGUUUCCAUCCUCCUCUGGGUACAUUGACUUCAAUACAAAACCUAAGAGGCUCAUGGUUGUCAUCCCGUUCCAUAGACUUACACAGUAAUUCUGACAACCUCCGCAGGACGUCCUCCAACCUGUCAGAGCUCUUGCUGCAUGAACUGACAUGUUGUCCACCCAAUCAAAAGAUCAGAGAAUGAAUCCAGUAGUGAAAUUAUAAGCUACAGCUAGCUAGCACUGCCCUGCCCUGCAUAAAAUGUGGUGGGUAGCUGACUCAGAGGGAGAAAGACAGUAGUUGAACAGUUUUAAAUUAUUUAAAAAGAAAGGAGAAGCAAGAGAGAGAGAGCGAGAGAGCUAGCUAUAUUUUAUUGUAUUUAGUUCACUUUCACCUACUUAGCUAGCGAAUGCCGCUCGCUAGUUUAGCCCACGCAAACACCAAACAGAGAGGGAUGCUAUGUUAGCUAGCUGGCUAUGGCUAUCCAACACUGGAACUAUUCCAAGUCAAGGUAAGCUUUUGGUUUUAUUCAUUUAUUGCCACUGUGGCCCGCUGGUGUGCCUGCUAAACUGUUUGCUGACUGCGUGAUUGUAGUGGGUUUACUAACACGUUAGUUCUCGUAGUUAUAUUCACUAUGACGUCACUUUAGCUAAUAUGGUGACAACGAUGUAGGCUGUGUGUAGUGGUUAGCUGAUGUGACAGACAGCUGAUGUAUUGUGCACUGAAGUCCACAAGCAAUGGAAAAGAUGAAAGGAGGAGAGCGCGUAGAUGCGAGAAGGAAUUAACAAGCAUGUUUGUAUGUGACUGCUAUGAAAGUGAACUGUGUUUUCGCGUGAUCAAGUGUGUAUUUUUUCAGCCGAUUCUGUUGAAAAAAGUUUCUUAAAAAUGGAAGCAAACGGAACAAAAUGGGGAUAAACAUACCUGAAUUUGUCCAAUAGAAACUUCUAUUUGCAACAGUUGGACUAAUAAUUACACCCUAUAUCAGCUAUAUGCAAGAGUGUGCAAGGCGGUAUUGAAUGUGUCAGUGUCUAUCACCUUGAUUACACUCAUUCUUCUCUUGACCUGUGCACCAACGUUGUAAAUUUUCAUGCAUAGGCUAGGUUGUAACAACCUCAUGAUGGGUAUAGGGAAAAUUAGAGUGUCAUGUAGUAGCCUAAACCUAUGGAUGUUACAUUGAGCUGGGUGAAUGGAAUAUGAAUCACAGUCAUCCAAUAUGCUGUAAUAGAAAUAAAUGGCCCCGACUGCCAUUGGUUAAUAAUCACGUGACUAGGAAGUGUUUCAGAUAAAAAGGAUGUGGCCGAUGCCUGUGGCAGGAUUCUCACUCUCUUCAGCAAGGUAAAGGUAUGGCUUUAGAGGACAACCUUUCUAGAGGUUUUCCUCUUGACUGAUUGCAGCUGUGGUAUUCUUACUCACUCUGUCAAAUGUGUUAUUGAGGUAUUCAAAUCACUAGCAGCACUAAAAGCAGCACUAAAAGCUGUAUUUACAAUUGCUGCCUAUAAUAAUAGUUUUUAUAUAUAUUUGUAUGUCUUCUUUUUUCAGGUUAGCCCUGCGUUGCUAAAAGGAUGGACAACAACAUGUCAUUCCCAAGCCACAUCCUUCAAAUCCAGGGUUUUCAAUUCUCACAGACAUUCAUGUAUCCAUUUUUUUUCUCCAUGCUGUUUGUUUAUCUCUCCCUCCUUGUGUCUAACAUUGGUGUCCUGGUCGUCAUCAUCAAAGAAAGAAAUUUGCACCAACCAAUGUACAUCCUCUUCUGUAACCUGUCUGUAAAUGAUCUGAUUGGCAACACUGUCUUGUUGCCUCGCCUCAUGGCUGACAUUGUUUCAACUGAGAGGUUUAUCACGUACAGCCAAUGUGUUGCUCAGGCCUUUUUCAGUCACACGUUUGGAUCAGCCUCACAUAUGAUACUGAUCAUUAUGGCCUUUGACAGGUAUGUGGCCAUUUGUUACCCGUUAAGGUACACGUCCAUAAUGACAACCAAAACUGUAGUUACGCUGUCUGUGUCUGCUUGGGGGGCUUCCCUUGUGUUAGUGUCUGUCCUACUGGGUCUCACCAUACGGCUUUCCCGAUGCAGUUCAAUCAUUCAGAAUGUUUAUUGUGACAAUGCAUCAUUGUUCAAGCUAUCCUGUGAGGACGUUUCAAUCAACAACAUCUAUGGACUCUUUUUCACUGUGCUGCUCUUUACUUCUUCAAUGGGAAGCAUCGCUGUCACUUAUAUCAGGAUUGCUGUGAUUUGCUGGACCAAGAAAAGCAAGGAGCUGAACAACAGAGCGUUGCAGACCUGUGCAAGCCACCUGGUGGUGUAUCUCAUUAUGCUGUGGAGUGGGUUUCUAACCAUCAUACUGCAUCGCUUUCCAGACUAUCCAUAUUUGAGAAAACUGGCUUCUGUUCUGUUUCAUGUCGUCCCUGCUCAUUUUAAUCCAAUUAUCUACGGCUUGCAAACAAAGUCAUUGAGGCAGAAAAUUACACAAAUACUCUGUCGGAAAGUUACAUACUCAUAAUACAGAUAUUACUUUGUAAAUCAAAUCGACAGGCUUGAUUAUUCUGGUCCUAAAACAGCCAAAAUAAAAUGGUUCGUAUUUCAACACAUACCAGUCUUAAAAGCUGUGUUCAAGGUACUUUUCUAACAUAUUCAUCAUCUAUAGCACCUCAACAUACAGUAUGUGAAAAUGGAGCAUUUCUAUGUGUUGUAGUCAAAAAGAUAGAGGAACAUAAGUGUUUCUGAUGACAUCAUCUCCUGUGUAUCUUGUGAUUUGGACCAAUUAUGUGCAGGCAAUGAGCAGAAAUAGUUGUGGCAGCAAUUGCAAUGUUUCCCUCAAAAGGUUAUGUUUUGCCAUUUUCACAUAUUUUGAUGUUGGGGUGGUGAUGGAGAUGAUGAAUAUGAAGUUUAAAUGAUUGUUUUUAUUACCCUUUAAUGGUUAUGUUCUGUCAGAUAUUAGGAGGUAUGAAUGAGGGAACCGUAAAGGUGACGAUGAGCAUGCGUUGGUAAUCAGGCUUUCCUGUCUGUGCUUAGUCGUUACCUUGUUGCCAGUCAAAAUGGUAUCUCAAUUGAGACCUCUAGUGUCUCUAAGCUGAAAACGCAGAGGGACGUUGCAGGGAUGCUAAAAUCCAAGCCUGAAGGUCUGCAAAUCCAAUUCUGAAGGUCUGCAAAUCCAAGCCUGAAGGUCUGCAAAUCCAAGCCUGAAGGUCUGCAAAUCCAAGCCUGAAGGUCUGCAAAUCCAAGCCUGAAGGUCUGCAAAUCCAAGCCUGAAGGUCUGCAAAUCCAAGCCUGAAGGUCUGGUUUUCAGGUGAAUUGAGAGUUUGUCACUGAUGGCCAGAAAUUCCACUCACCUGUAACGGAUUCAUUCUAUAGAGCCAACCUGGAACAGAGAUACUGAUAAAGAGCUUCCAUCUUUAGCCGGCCUCCGCCCUGUCCUGAACCUUAGACACUGUCACUUAUUGGCUACCAACAGGUACUCUACCCUGCACCUUAGAGACUGCUGCGCUAUGUACAUACAGUAGUCAUUAAAUAAUGUAAUAAUGUUUACAUACUUUCUACUUUUAAUAUACAGGGCCUUCAGGAAGUACUCACACCACUUGACUUUUUCCACAUGUUGUUGUGUUAAAGCCUGCAUUUAAAAUAGAUUACAUUGAGAUUUGGUGUCACCAGCCUACACACAAUACCCCAUAAUGUCAAACUGGAAAUAUGUUUUUAGAAAUCUUUACAUAUUAAUAAAAAAAUAUAAGCUGAAA